UCAAAUUUGAAAUCUGGCCCUCGGGUCCGAGUUGUAAUUUGUAGAGGAUGUUUUUGGUGCGGUACCUUCCGAGUUCCCUGGAACGGGACGCCAUAGAGGGUGAGAGCCCCGUCUGGUUGGAUGCCAAUCCUCUGUAAAACUCCUUCGACGAGUCGAGUAGUUUGGGAAUGCUGCUCUAAAUGGGAGGUAUAUGUCUUCUAAAGCUAAAUAUUGGCCAGAGACCGAUAGCGCACAAGUAGAGUGAUCGAAAGAUGAAAAGCACUUUGAAAAGAGAGUUAAAAAGCACGUGAAAUUGUUGAAAGGGAAGCGCUUAUGACCAGACUUGGACUUGGUUGAUCAUCCGGCGUUCUCGCCGGUGCACUCUUCCGGUUCAGGCCAGCAUCAGUUUGCUUCGGGGGAUAAAGGCUUUGGGAAUGUGGCUCUUUCGGGAGUGUUAUAGCCCAUUGUGUAAUACC
rnacentral:rRNA from 1 species